rnacentral:misc_RNA from 1 species
AACCUAGCACACCUGCGGUGUGUACCUGCGGAGGGAUCAUUAUAGAGUUUUCUAAACUCCCAAACCCAUGUGAACUUACCAUUGUUGCCUCGGCAGAACCUACCCGGUACCUACCCUGGAACGAGCUACCCUGUAGCUACCCAGGAACGGGCUACCCUGUAACGUCCUGCCGGUGGACUUCUAAACUCUUGUUAUUUAUAGUAAUCUGAGCGUCUUAUUUUAAUAAGUCAAAACUUUCAG